rfam:Trichobilharzia regenti genome assembly, scaffold: TRE_scaffold0022982
AUCCAGUUGACGAGUCCCAAAUAGGACGAAAUGCGCAACUAGGAU